AAAACAAUAAGAAAGCUUGUGGAGAGUGAUGUCACCAAAGUAGUGAAAUAGACAGUUCCUUCCUUUGCUUCCUUCACAAGAAGAAGAAGGAGAAGUAAGAGCUGUUGAGGACCCCCACUGAGAAACACUUCCCUGCUCCUCAGGGACCAAGACCCAUUGGCAUUAGGGGAAUCACCUCCCUGACUGAAAUGAAAUUAUCUUCCUCCACUCAUGUCAGCCAUAGGACUUAGGAAGAGCUGAAGAUUUGCCGUGUGGCUCAAGUAUAUGAGUGUGUGGUUCAAGUCUAUCACAAACCAGGUGUGGGUUCCAGGAAUAUGCCUACCUUCCACUGCGAGGAUCCCUUCCCCUCAGCAUCGAGGUCCAAAAGUGCAGAGAUGAGAAGUCAUCUUGCAAUAUGAUUAUGUUUAAAAGUAAUAGACACCACUGAGAAUAUGUGAGAAGUGGAGAUGAAAUAAGGUGAAAUGUAUGGAACCAUAGAACUAAGUGGAAAAUUGUUCUUACCAUUAAAUGUAUAAAACUGUAAGCAAAGGAUAUGAUUCUUAAAGAUGCCAACUAAGGGCAUAAAUUCUGUCAGGAAUAUACUCAUAUGUCAUUUUAAAUGCACAACGCACUAUUUUUAUUUUGGAUAGAAGAUCAUACACAGUAGAACUUAUCACAAUUCAUGAGUUUGUAAGCCAAAUCUAUAGUAGUGCUAUAAUUACA